GGCAAGCCGAUGACAAAGAUUCUGGGAUUGUUAAUUUCUUAUGUUUUGUUGGCGAUCUUCUCGCUGGGAGAUAAACAUUGAGGUUAUCUGACAAAAAGAAUAUUGUUGAGAUUUUGCAUUACCAGCAGUUUCAGUUUUCGGCCACUGACGAUGAGACUAGCAUGCUGAAAUACCUCUUCUGCAGCAAGAAUUCUUUGGGGCAAGUUUGAGUUUCUGAUUUGAUUCUGCUGCCAGAUGACCAGCAGGAAACUAAAAGCUGUGGGAUACACCGGCGAUUUGCCUGUCGAUUUGGAGGAUCCCGAUGUUUACACGAACGUGCUUUCUUGGCUCAUAAAAGAUAAGCGGCUGCAAUCACUUGUUCCUGAAGCUCGUAACAAGUUUAUCACUGCAUGCGAGAAUGGAUUAACAGUUGCCCUAGAUGAGUAUUUUAAUGCGGUGGGAUGUCCCAGCACAAUUUCUGCUCCACAGGAGCGCACCGACUGGCUGCUUAGGCAGCUGGUAUCCAGGGAGUGCAAAACUCUGGAAAGCCGAUUCAGGGUUUCGCACAACUACGAAAAUGUCAGUAUUUGUAAAGGUGAUGGUGCAAAAUUUAUUGCAAUAGAAGGCGUCAUUCCCAAAAAACAUCCAUUGGACAACAUGAAUGAAAAUUCCCAAAUUGUUCAAGCGGGGCUGCAGUCUCUCGCAAAGAUGUUGCACAUUUUUCCGGCUGAAGAUCGGUCCAGGGUAUUGGAAAUGGUCGUCCAGCGCCUGGAAACGCUCUCACAAAACGGUCCUGUCGAGUCUAACGGAGAGCAUGUACGGGAAAUGGUGCAACAGUUCCUCUGGAUGCAAUUCCGCUCGGCUUUGCUGUCGGAGAUUCAUUGUUAGAAAAUGCCAUGAAAGUUGUGCGGCUACUGCAUAUUGAGCAGCUUCGAGACCUGCAGACGCGCAUGGAUGAAGUACUGGUUUUGAUGCAAGAAAUUACCGCCAAUCCUCAAACGGAUGAGAGACUUGGCAAAAUUGGACGAUGAGAACGGAAUGCAAUGGAAUAGUUGUUAUCCUUUUUUAAGUUUACAGCAUUUAGGUAGAUAGUUUGUUCGCCAUUGUUAUGCAUUUCGUGCUGGAAUCUGCUAACUGGCAGCAGAUAAUUGUUAUUUUUUAUGCUUAUAAGCUUUUUUAAUUCUUAUUCCAGUUCUUGUACAGAGAAAGGAAAAAAAAGGUUUGUUGGUUAAAAACAGUAUUACAAAAUUUUUCGUCGCUAUGACUAAGUGAUGCAGAAAACGAAACAAAA